rnacentral:rRNA from 1 species
AUGAAGGAUGCCUCCGAGACAUGGACGCAAAAUAAUUCCUCUCAGCAGCCGUCUGGACUCGAGCACAAAGUGGUUACAUUUUCCCUGUGGUCCUUUUGCCAGCAGCAUGGUACCAUCCCAUCUGCUAUAACAAAACGGCAAAAGAAAAUCACAAUCACAAUGCAGCUUCAUACACAUACCACAAGACUGACGCUGAAGGAAUCUAGGACCACAGCCGUUCUUGCAAGAGGAAACAAUACCCAUGAGAUGUCCUCCACUCCACAACACUCUGUUACAUUGUCAUCAGUAAUAAUUAUACAACAACAACGACAACAACAACAACAACAACAACAAAGCCUUGUUGCUGUUGUUGUCAUCAGUAAUAAUUAUGGCACAGGAAAUCCUAUAGUGUGUGUGUAUUAA